GAUGAACGCUGGCGGCGUGCCUAAUACAUGCCAGUCGAGCGAACAGACGAGGAGCUUGCUCCUCUGACGUUAGCGGCGGACGGGUGAGUAACACGUGGAUAACCUACCUAUAAGACUGGGAUAACUUCGGGAAACCGGAGCUAAUACCGGAUAAUAUAUUGAACCGCAUGGUUCAAUAGUGAAAGACGGUUUUGCUGUCACUUAUAGAUGGAUCCGCGCCGCAUUAGCUAGUUGGUAAGGUAACGGCUUACCAAGGCGACGAUGCGUAGCCGACCUGAGAGGGUGAUCGGCCACACUGGAACUGAGACACGGUCCAGACUCCUACGGGAGGCAGCUGUAGGGAAUCUUCCGCAAUGGGCGAAAGCCUGACGGAGCAACGCCGCGUGAGUGAUGAAGGUCUUCGGAUCGUAAAACUCUGUUAUUAGGGAAGAACAAAUGUGUAAGUAACUAUGCACGUCUUGACGGUACCUAAUCAGAAAGCCACGGCUAACUACGUG
rnacentral:rRNA from 1 species